UAGUAUGUUCUGAACUCCACUAUCAUUAAACCAUCAAAUUUGUAAGUCUGGGAUCAUGUUGAAAUCAUGGGGGGCUGAUAGCCAAUCAUUUCUCAUUCCUCAUUACAUUAACUGGGUGUGAUCUUUGGAAGUCUUCUGUAUCUACGCCAGGUAUUAAGUUUUCACUUUCGGUUCCCAGAGCAGCCUUUGGCGCUCUCCUCUGCACGUCUGUUUUGCCAGCAGCUCCCUGUUAGGCUCUGUCAAUAGGGGGUGCUGAGUGAGACUGCAAGGACGGAAGAGGGAGUGAUUUGCUUCUUCCUCCUGGUUUUCUCUUUGCUUCCUGUUGGCCUCCUGUCUGCUUGUGGCUCCUGUGAUGUCACUCCAGCCACACUUCUUCAUCCCAAAUAUGGGCGGAAGCUGCAGUUUCUUCUCAGAGAAGCGCUUGAAUCCACUUUAUAGUUUUCCAACACCUAUAGAACCAGCUUCAUCCUCUAGCACCACCUGAUGGGGACCUUUUCCUUAACUGUCUGAGUCUUAGCUUCUUUAACACCUUCUCCUAAGUCUUGAAGUUUUAAUAACUCCAACCUCUUACCUUUUAUAUUGUAGCCCUAAGAGUGUGUGGCAGCCGUGAAAAUGUCCCUCACAGACCUUUGGCUACAGAGAUCAUAAUUAGGGUUGCUAGAUUUCACAAAUAAAAGUACAGGAUGGAUGCCAAUUAAACUUGAACAACAAAUAACUUUUUAAUUAAUUGGUGUGGUUUCCAUCUCUUGACUGGACCCAGACUGGAUGCCCCUAAGCUUGGUGAGAAUGCUAAAUUGCUCCAGGAAGUCUAAGCGACUAAGUCAUGCCCUUAAAGAUUGGACCCUACAUUCUAAAAACAUGAAGUUCUCAGAGUAUCUUUACAUCUAAAAUUAUCUUGGAGAUUUCCAAAGAAAUUCUGGAAAAUCACAAAGAUGUGUUCUUUUACCUUAUAAAAAAUGUUAGAAAUAAUCAGGUUUGUUGGGUAGCUCAAUAUUGUUAAAUAAGCUCAAUACUACUGCAAGGGCAGAAUGGGAAGGGUUAUCCAAUCAGAAGGGAGGUGCAGCCUUCCCUUAGUUAAGUUUGUAGAGGUAAAAUAUUAUUAAUAUAAAUAUUUCAGAGACUGUACACUUUGUAGGAAGGGCCUUAAGAUUUGGCACUUCCAGUGCUGUCCAUAAUAUGUUCUUAUCCUCCGGCAAACAUUGAUCGAACCAUUAUGAAACAAGCAUGCAUCAGACAACUUUGUUCUCCACUCUGAUAUUGCUGUUGGCUGUAAUAAAUUAACCACAGCCAUUCAGUCUUAGAGGUCCUUUCUGCUUUUCUCUCAUGUUUGCCUGGAGGCUCUGCUAUAAGUUACAAGCCGGAGAUAGGAUCUUCAACAAAACAGUUUUAGAGCCUUGAGCAAAGGACUCUACUGGGUACUUGAGGCCCCAGAUUCUUUCUGGCAUCGGUAAAAGGAAACCAGGUCCCAGGAUCAAACUAAAGACCCACCUCCAAAGCGGAUAGGUCUCUCUCUCUCUCUCAACUCCGCUCUCAGAUGAACAAGACUGGGCUUGUUGGCUAGAAGAUGAAGUGACUUGGAAAGAGGCCGCAACUAUUUGAGCUAGGGCCCCACCCAUGUGAAUGGGUCUAGCUCAAGUAGAACCUGCUCAGACUAGGAAAAUUUUCCAGUGAGCCACAGAAUGGCUUCCAUCCUGUGUUUCAGCCUGGUUCCACUUAGGACUACGUCUGGUCCCUUUAUUCACCGGAGUACAAGGGCUGCAUGUACUGAAAGUCUGGAUAUUCUCAACACAUCUCCAGGUCCCCAGAAGAACUGAAGAAUCACAGGAUAUUAUUUCUGAGUCUUCUAAAUCAAAACCACCUAGUUUGGAAAUAAGGCUCACUGUGAUCCUGAGCAACCUUAAUGUCAAAGAAAGAGACAGAAGAGUCAGAUCAGAGGGGAGAGAUGUGAGAAGAACUGAACCCAUUAUUGCUGGCUUUAAAGAUGGAAGAAAAGGGCCAUACUCCAAGGUACUUCUGGAAGAUGGAAAGCCAAGUGAAGAGAGUCCUCCCUAGAGCCUCCAGGAAGGAACACAGUCCUGCUGAUACCUUGAUUUUAGCCUACGGAGACCCACUCUGGACUUUGGAACUUUAGAAUUGAAUGAAGAAGAGAUGCAUGCCACAGCGAGGCACUUUCCAGCCAGCCAGUCUCAGGUACAUCCUACCCUGGAAAACAUGUUCCAUGUCCCUUCAAGGCCGGCAGAGUUAAAAAAAAAAAAUCCACCUCUGAUUGGAGAGCCCAGAUUUUAUUUCUGGUGAAGCUUGCAGGUGGUAAAGCUUGUUAAAGCAGUUUGAUCCAUCAGCCUCCCCUCUCUUGAGGCUGUCUCAGUAUGAGAGAAUCGUACGUGAACAAUAGUUGUUGGUUUUCUCCUUCUUUUUCCUCUUCCCCUCCUUCUCCUCUUCUCUUCCUCCCCCACCACUCCUCCCUGCUUUUCCUCUCCCUCCUUUUUCUUCUUAACCUGACUUGCAUUAUUGUCCAGAGCUGACCAGGGAAGCAGUGAGGUUUGGAAAAGGAUCUACAACACAUUGGUUCACUAAAUACUUAUUUUGCUGCUAUGAAAUUCUCCAGUGUAUGGCAGGAAGUCACAUCAUAAUACUUUUUCAACUUACUGUCAACUUGUAUUAUUUUGUAACUACAGAAGUGAAUGCCAGCCCUGAAAUUUAGCCAUCUACCCUUCCAACAGGAAGUACAAAGUACAUUUCAUUCAAGUAAAUAAAACAAACAUCUGCUUUCAUGGGCUGGCCCCAACUUACUUUUCUAGUUUCUUCCUCUACCACAUUCCUAAUUUGCCAACACACACACACACACACACACACACACACACACACACACACACACACACACAAUGCUAUUAGCACAUUCUUUUCCUCCAAGCAUAGAACAAUUUUGGAGCUCUAACUAGUUGAAUAUAUGAAUGAAAUAAGCUGUGCAAUUACACUAUGUGCAUUUGCUCAUACUUUCCCAGUUUUGGAAUACCACCCUUCCCACUAUCCCAAUUUUAAUUUCUAUUCAUCCUUAAGGUCCAGCUUGCUGCUCUUUUUGAAGUCCUCAUUGAGUAUCACUCUUUUUCUCCUCUGUAUAUUCAUAAUGUCUUACUUGUUAAUGUCACCUCACUUCGCCUUUGUGUUUGCUUGGCUUCCUCUCCCUCUGAGUGCAGGUUCUUCGUGGUAGGAAACAUCUUUCUCAUCUCUGUACCUACCACCUAGCAUACUGGCUGCCAUAAGGUAAGCACUGAAAUGUUUAAUGGGUUGGUUGACUCUUUGAUAAGCUCUGGGAGAGUGACAUUCCUGGCAUGGGGGGCAGGCAGUGUCCAUCAACCAAGAUAAAGGAGCAGAGCAGGAGCUGAAGGUGACUGUGUACCCUGACACAGAUAUCUGUCAGUCACCUGAAUCUACAGGUCUAGAGCUGAGGAGAGAUCAAGACUAGAUAUACAGAGAUGGGAGUUCCUGGUGUGGAGGUCUGGAGGUUGGGAAGUCCAAGAUCAAGGUACCAGCAGAUACAGUGUCUGGUGAGGGUCCACUUCCUGGCUUGCAGACAGCCACCUUCUCACUGUGUCCUCACA